AUAAGCCUAGGAUGUACGUUGUCAUUUGAAAUUCAACCACUGAAUUUAGAAUGGAAUUUCGAGUCUUGAUAUUGAAGACAUGCCAACAAUGGACUUCGGAGAUGUUGAGUAGAUCAUCCACCUGUUGAGGUGUGGUGUGAAAUUUUACCUGCCGACGGCAUCUCGGGUAAAUU
rnacentral:other from 1 species